UGCAAGUCGAACGGAAGUCGUUAUAAAAAGGAUUGAAGAUUUAUCUGAUUGAGAUUUUAUAACAAUGGCUUUAGUGGCGGACUGGUGAGUAACGCGUGAGCAACCUGCCUACUAGAGGGGAAUAACAGUGAGAAAUCAUUGCUAAUACCGCAUAUGCCAUGAACAUCACAUGAUGAAAAUGGGAAAAGAGUAAUCUACUAGUAGAUGGGCUCGCGUCUGAUUAGAUAGUUGGUGGGGUAACGGCCUACCAAGUCAACGAUCAGUAGCCGGACUGAGAGGUUGAACGGCCACAUUGGGACUGAGAUACGGCCCAGACUCCUACGGGAGGCAGCAGUCGGGAAUAUUGCGCAAUGGAGGAAACUCUGACGCAGUGACGCCGCGUAUAGGAAGAAGGUUUUCGGAUUGUAAACUAUUGUCGUUAGGGAAGAUACAAGACAGUACCUAAGGAGGAAGCUCCGGCUAACUACGUGCCAGCAGCCGCGGUAAUACGUAGGGAGCAAGCGUUAUCCGGAUUUAUUGGGUGUAAAGGGUGCGUAGACGGGACAACAAGUUAGUUGUGAAAUCCCUCGGCUUAACUGAGGAACUGCAACUAAAACUAUUGUUCUUGAGUGUUGGAGAGGAAAGUGGAAUUCCUAGUGUAGCGGUGAAAUGCGUAGAUAUUAGGAGGAACACCGGUGGCGAAGGCGACUUUCUGGACAAUAACUGACGUUGAGGCACGAAAGUGUGGGGAGCAAACAGGAUUAGAUACCCUGGUAGUCCACACCGUAAACGAUGGAUACUAGGUGUAGGAAAUGAUUUCAUUUUCUGUGCCGUCGCAAACGCAAUAAGUAUCCCACCUGGGGGAGUACGGCCGCAAGGU
rnacentral:rRNA from 1 species